rnacentral:rRNA from 1 species
UAGUGAGUUUGAUCCUGGCUCAGGAUGAACGCUGGCGGUCUGCUUAACACAUGCAAGUCGAACGCAAGUAGAAAUACUUGAGUGGCGGACGGGUGAGUAACGCGUGAGAAUCUGCCUUCUGGUCGGGGACAACCACUGGAAACGGCGUCUAAUACCGGAUACGAGACGCGGCCGCAUGGUCAGUGUCUGGAAAGUUUUUUCGGUCUGGGAUGGACUCGCGGCCUAUCAGCUUGUUGGUGAGGUAAUGGCUCACCAAGGCGAUGACGGGGUAGCCGGCCUGAGAGGGCGACCGGCCACACUGGGACUGAGACACGGGCCCAGACUCCUACGGGAGCAGCAGUGGGGAA